ACGCGGCGACGUUCGUCGAGCUGAGAUGUUCUUACCCCGAUGGCCAGCACGAGCCCGUACCUCUCAUCGUCUGCCGGUCUGGUGAGCGACAGCCCCGGCAUGCAGGUGGCUACCUCGCCGUACGCGCGCGACGCCGCCCCGGAGAUGAAGUACAUGCCACCACAGAGUCACAAUGGACAUCACGCUGCCAUGGCGCCCCAACACCACUGGGUUCACAACGACGCCUGGUCAGUGGCUAUGCCGCAGGACGUGAAACCGCCCGAUCUUCACCAUCACCACCGUCCGCCCCAACACAUGGCACCUUGGCACCACCACACGCCCAUGUCCAGUAUGACCGGCAACGGUCCUUCGCCCCACCACCAUCACAUUCAGCAGCACUAUUCCCUUAAUGGAAUGAUGAGCGGUCACCCUGCCAUGAGAGAGAUGCAGCAGCACGAGCACCAUCACCAUCCACACCAUACGCACCACGAGGAGCUCUCCCAUCCCAUGGACCACCAUCACCGGCACCCGGACGAAUGUGUACCAUUAGGUGGCGGGGGCGAGGAGGCUCCUAGCUCUGAUGAUCUGGAGCAAUUUGCAAAACAGUUCAAACAGCGUCGCAUCAAGCUGGGCUUCACACAGGCAGACGUGGGCCUAGCCUUGGGCACGCUCUAUGGCAAUGUGUUUAGCCAAACGACCAUCUGCCGAUUCGAGGCAUUGCAGCUGAGCUUCAAGAACAUGUGCAAGCUAAAGCCUCUCCUGGCGAAAUGGCUGGAAGAGGCCGAUAGCACCACGGGCUCACCGACCUCUAUAGACAAGAUUGCAGCCCAGGGGCGCAAAAGAAAGAAGAGGACGAGUAUUGAGGUGUCUGUGAAAGGGGCGCUGGAGAAUCACUUCCACAAGCAACCAAAACCGGCCGCCCAGGAAAUAGCCAACCUCGCGGACAGUCUCCAACUGGAGAAAGAGGUGGUCAGAGUGUGGUUCUGUAAUCGCCGACAAAAGGAAAAGAGAAUGACUCCACCUGUGAAUAUGGGGCCCGGAGGACAAAUGACCGAAGGGGGCCUCAUGAUGGGUAGUUCGCCCCUGCACGCGCACAGCCCCAACCAACUCAUGCAGUCUCCCCCACCCCCGCAUUCGAUGGCUGCGGCCCACUGACCAGCGGCCGGGCCCGCGGACUCCGUCCAUCACCAAGCCGACUCCCCGGUCGACCGCGAGCCCCUGCCGCCGUUUUACUUCUCUCUUUUGCGGGGAGACGCCGCCCCAUCCUACAAGUGUACAUGAAUAAAAUGUUUUCUUUCCCAUUCCUCCAACGGACCAGAGGGGAUGCGAAAGAAACGAAACUCCCCACAACCGUUUUUCUUGUGCGUGUGUGUGUGUGCCAAUGUGUGGUCCUCUUUCGCAACCUGGAGGAGGGGUGACUGCCAGACAAAUGACCCUAUCGUAUUUCAACCCCUGCCUCCUCGUUCCAUUGAGUGAUGUCGGACCUAAAUCGACACCUGUCGAGUCCAUCUGCUAAGGUCAGAAAACAAAGUUCCUCAUCCCACUGGCCGACAACACUGCCAGGAAAUCACCAAAAAUAAACGGAAUGAAAAAAAAAAAUAUUUCACAGUCUAUUCAAUCAUCAAAUGAUUUGUUUCCCUCCGUUUAUAUUUUUAAAGACAUUGGCCAAGCAUGUGGUGCAGUCAGUUUCAUGCAUUUCGUUUUUGUGGAUGGCAUCAGUGCUGCAGACAAACUUCAACAAGGAAUCAUAUUGAUUUCGUUUUCACCGUCAGAAACAUUCGAAACAUGAAGACUUCAUCGAAUUUCAUUUCAUCAAUGUUUUCUUUUGUGCUUGGAAAAAAUUCCUGUAUUUUAGCUGUCUCUUGUGUAACUAUGUUUAAUUUUCAUAGAAUCAACUAUCCUAGAUUGAAUAUCCUUUAUGAAAUUAAAAUUCUAUCCUAUAUUUUUUAAAAUCAAUAACUGUGCUAAAAAGUAUACCGUGGUUUUUCCUGCAUUUGUUUGAUACAAAUGUUUCAUUACGUUUUAAUAAUUUAAAUGUUUGUCAUUUUUUUAAAGAAUUUUAUUUUUGGUCAGAAGCAAUUUAAAAUUAUAAAAU